UAUAAUAAUGAGUUACCUUCAACACUGGCAAACAUAAACUAUGCACUCAAUCCAAACAGGAAGCACACUUGAGGAUGUCAAUAAAUUAUUCAGCAGGGGCGUUCAGAGAUCAAUAGCAACACCUCAUGAUGGCAGCAGAGCAGUGGAGGAUUCUUUGUUGUGUUUUAGGGAAUAUAACAUCUGUGUACACUUGCAUUGUUUUGGAUUUUCCUGUUACCUGCAGGGAUUUCUGAAAAUGUGUUUCCAGCAUUUUUGUCAUGUUUUUUUCCAGCUGUGUUUUCUUUUUUACAUCAGGAUCACUGGAGUUUUCUUCACUCGAAGAUCACAAGUUAAAUCACAACCCCAUUGAAUCACUGAUGUCAGAGAGCGGCACGGCAGAUAUGUAUUCAUGAGAAAAUGUCAGGGAUUAGAAGUAGAGCAUUAAUGUGAAUAAAUGCCUGCAGCAGGAAACAGUAAUUCUCCCCCGAGGUUUGUAGAAACCAAAGAGAUGAGGUGGAUUUCACCCAUGAGACAUAACUUCCUCAUGUCUCAGUGAUUUAGUUUCUGUGGUGUUGGGCACAACUGCCUGUGUGAGCACAUGCUCUGGUUGAUGUGUGUUUGUGUGUGUUCUCAGCUUUGCUGACAUUUCCUCAAACGUGGCUGACAUUUCCAGGGGAUUUGAAGACUUGAUCCCGUCUGUGUUUGAAGAGCUGAGUGCCAACCUCCUCAAAAUACUGGGGGGAAAAAAAAAAAAAAAAAAAAAAAGAAAGAAACCGCAGCAGCACAGCCAGCAGUGUGCCCCCCCCUCCAGGCCCUUCGUCCUCAACAUUUGGUGCAGCCCAUCUUCAUUCACCUAUUUACGAUUGGGAGAAAAACUGCACUACGCAUGGCCUGCCUUAAGACAUGACAGGUUCACUGCUUGGUCUCUAACUUAGUCCUGCUGUUUUCCCCUGGGCUGAAGACUGUUUCUCCUCUUCUCAAGUGAAGCAGAAAAGCUAUCACCAAAAGAUAUGAGGGAAAAAAAGCAGAUAAAGAUAGAGUGGGAAGGGGAGAAAGCAACAUCGUGUGAGAAGGAGGGGGAAAGAUCUGUUUCUUCUGCUACAGGCUGGUUAGUCGAGCGAACUGACACACACUGACAUCUCUCUUCUACAGAGUUCCAGUUAAGAAGAGCUUAGCUACUUUUUUGUCCGUUGCUUUCUCUCUCGACCUUCCCCUUUUUUUUUACUCUUUCAGCUGUCCUGCCAUCUCUCUCGUCCUUCCUCUGCCCACCCCGAGGCUAUCAUGUCUUUCUUUUUCUGCCUGAAUGAACUGUGCAGCAGUCUUGUCCUAACCCCGGGCUCGUGUUACAACAUGCAUACACACACAUGCUGUAUUCUGCAUGCACACGCACACGGAAACCCACACGGCAGACUUGAGGAGGGCCAGGGGCCAAACACAGGUCAGACUCAGAGGCACUUCUCCCACUGACUUGACGGGUGUUUGAUAGAUGCAAUUUGACGCAAACAACCUUAUAUGAACACAACACAGUGUGCAUGCAUGCACCAGCCGUGCUUCCAGCUAUCUUAAGGCAGAUAAUACUUCAAUAUUUACUGGGACCUUUAAGGACUUUAAAUAUUCAUUUAGAAAGAAAGCUUGCAUUACCUCAUAAAAGUCUAACCCCAACCUCCAAUAAAAAGAGAACAAAAUUAAUGUGUUGAACUGUCAAUCAAACAAAAUAGCCAGCUUAAAGAUGACGUUAGAACCGAUGCUGGAAAUGACCUUAAAGCAGAACAGAACCAGCGUUUUGAAAUAUUGCUGAAGGGAUUCAGGAAGAAUCCGUAGUGUGUUUCUAGCUAAGAAAACUCAUGUUCGGCAUGAUGCUGGAUCUGAGCAGACUGGAAACUAGAGCUGACCUCAGCCCACACCAUGAUUCUGCCUUACAUGCAGCAGCGAUCCCUGCAGGUUAAAACAUGCUUGUCCUGGUUGACAGCAGAGCUCGAGUUCAGCACAUAAAUUAUUUCUAAGAGAACUACAUCACUUGUUACUCCUUGCUCAAGCUGGCCAUGAAAACUGGACAUGAGGGGGCAAAAGCUUCAAUCUUUAUUCAAAGAUUUCAGAUUACUGUUUCAGAAUAAUUAGAAUUAAAAAGUUAAAUGGAUAUUGUGGAAAAAAAGAAAAACAUUCUACUUUAAAACUGGUAGUUGAUCAAAAAUGACAUAAAAAUUGCAGCAUAUACACGUCUAAAACAUAAAUGCUCAUUUUCAUAUCGACGAGUACAUAGGGACUAAAUCCCACAAUCACAGCGGAACAUAACUUAAACCCAAGAUCUUUAACAGGAUGAGAGCACUAUUGAUUAGCCUCUUCCUGCAUUGAUCCGUUGUCAUUCGAUUGUCGUUUGUGUAUCUUGCAAAACACACAAUCUCGCAUCACAAAUGACAUUAACACAUUUGGCAUUUCUUUUUUCCUUGGAGUAAAAUACACAUUCAAAACAUACAAAGCUACGUUAUUUGUGAACACAGGUGGUUGAUGUUUAAAUAAAACAAAUAAAAAUGACAACCAUGUUCAAUAAUUGUAAGAAAUGGUAAAAACAUUAUAAUACAAAACAUCAGAUUAUUCAUAGAUUGAAAGGCUCAGAGGUAAGUGAAAUUGUGAACACAACGGUGUCAUGUAAAUAUGUACGCCUAAAGUCAAAAUCUUUAGGGUUAUAACAGAGCCCCCCCCGUCCCGCCAUUGUUGUUAGGCCACUAGGAAAAGAAAAGCUAGUAACUGGCAUUUUGAUAUAAAACUGCUAGAGGGACACAUCAGGAGGAGGUAGAGAGCUUUAAUAAACAAACUGACAGCCAGAAAGAGGCUGAAACUCUACUUACUUCAUAUAAUUCUACAAAUCAUUUUCUGCAGUCAAAGACCUCUAAACUAGUAAAAAAAAAAAAAAGGAAAGGGGGUGGGGGUCAUUAAGACAAGAAUUAAAGCAGUAAAAAUAAAAACACAACAAAUUAAUUAAAAAAAUAAAAA